UGCCAGCCGCCGCGGUAAUACGGAGGGGGUUAGCGUUGUUCGGAAUUACUGGGCGUAAAGCGCGCGUAGGCGGUCUGGUUAGUCGGAUGUGAAAGCCCUCGGCUUAACCGAGGAAGUGCAUUCGAAACUGCCAGACUUAAGUAUGGGAGAGGGUUGCGGAAUUCCCGGUGUAGAGGUGAAAUUCGUAGAUAUCGGGAGGAACACCAGUGGCGAAGGCGGCAACCUGGACCAAUACUGACGCUGAGGUGCGAAAGCGUGGGGAGCAAACAGGAUUAGAUA
rnacentral:rRNA from 1 species